GCUGGGAAAAUCCAAGAUUUUAGUUUGACUAGUUAGGGAUAAGGAGUAGGGUUUCUGUUAUUUGUGCAGAACAGUUACUGGGUUGUAAACUUCUAAAUAUUUCGGUUUGCAUUUGUGCAAGAAGCUUUACAUUACACUCUUUGCUCCAAGAAAUCUUUUUUAACUCUGUGUUGUUUGAAAUGAGAGACUUGUUGAAAGAAGUGUUACUGGUGAUUGCAUUGUUGAAUUUAUAAGGUCUGAAUUGUAUAACAGGGCAAACCGGGUGUCAAGAUUUAUACGAAAUUUUAUGCAGAAGAAAAGGAAGUGUCUAAUGGUGUCCUAGCAAUCUGUGUUUCAAAACUGGUUGCCCUGCCAUACCUUUCUCUGGCUAGCAUACUGUUUGGAUUGAGUUAUGGAGGUGUUCAAAGUCAACUGGGUACUUCAGGAACUGGUUGAACAGUUUCUAAUGCCCUACCUAUUCCAAGAUCGAUACUUUUCUCAUCCUUCAUUUUUCCAUAUAAUCUGAAUGUAAGAUCAUGGUACAUAGUGAAUUGUUUCAUGCCGUAAGCUAUCUCAAGAGAUUUUUUUUAGCUUUUUCUGGGCCCUAUGAUAAGAAAUUGGGUUGCAUUGAAUUGAUCUGUUCAAAAUUUGGAUUCAAUAGAAAGUCAUAGUAGAGAAAGCUCAUAGCAGAAUUUACUUAUCUCUUAAAAUGCAAACAAUGAUUAUUCUAGGGAGAGCAAUCAUCUACCUUGUUUUUCUGAUAUGUUAAUCUAUUUAUCUUGUUCCAAUUUAGGCAUCCGUGGGAGAAUUAUUCUGUACAAAGGGAACAAUUUCUUGCUUAGUGGACUUAAUAUUCAUGUUGCCUUUAGACCCCCUCAAGUAGUGGCAACCAAGGUUGAUUUUCAGCAUUCCUUGUGGGUACAUAUCCUACCUUUUUUUUUUCCUUUUUGUCAAACUGUCAAUGAAGCAGCUGUCUUCUCAGUUCAUUAUAUGUUUGAGCAGGUUUAUGCAUGCCAAUUGUAGAAUUGUUUCAAGCUUGAUUUUGUAAAUAUAUUGUGUUCAUGAUUCUGAGGUUUUUUAUUUAUUGGCUUGAGAUCAAAUGCAGUACCUUGGCGAAGCAUGCUGAAAGGAGCAGCGAUAGAUUUCAGUCCACUAACCGCUUGGGGCGUUCUUGAUGGAAGUGGUGAGUACCUUUUAGGAUUUCAGUCCUUGAACUAGAUUUCUUACUUCAUUAUUCUGUAUAGAAGUUAUCUUACAACUAACCACUUUGCAAGACUUGUCAUUCAUUUCUAGAUUUUUCAGUCCUUGAACUAGAUUUCUUACUUCAUUAUUCUGUAUGGAAGUUAUCUUACAACUAACCACUUUGCAAGACUUGUCAUUCAUUUCUAGAUUUUUCAGUCCUUGAACUAGAUUUCUUACUUCAUUAUUCUGUAUGGAAGUUAUCUUACAACUAACCACUUUGCAAGACUUGUCAUUCAUUUCUAGAUUUUUCAGUCCUUGAACUAGAUUUCUUACUUCAUUAUUCUGUAUGGAAGUUAUCUUACAACUAACCACUUUGCAAGACUUGUCAUUCAUUUCUAGAUUUUUCAGUAACACAAACACGCCCCCUCCCACUUAACAACCAUUGUCAAAUACUGCUCUUUAGCCAUGCGCCCCCCACCCCCCCGCGGCCCACAGAAGUUGUCAAGAAUAUCAUUUACUUUCCAAUUCCAUUAUUUGUGCAGUACUAUGGUUCAAUAUUAUAGUGGUAAUCUUUGCAUUGCUAUAGCUAGGAUGUUGUGUUUUAAAUAAAAGCCAAAGCACAAGUUUCUCUUGAGGAAAUGAAGACGAAACCUCUUUGAUAUGCAUUUGAAAAGUCUUUCUGCAAAUUUUAAGGUCAACCAGACAUCCAUAAAACUCUUACUAAAUGCGUCACUUAUUAUAAGAAAAUGGACGUGUCUUGCAAGUUACAUGGUUGUGCAGGGCUAUGGUCCUUUGUAAAGGAAUUGAGUUUCUCAUGACCAAAAAGAACACACGGACUUUUCUUUUGUUGGCCUUACCAUUGCAUGCUUGGUGACUAUCUAAUAUAUUAUCAUCACUUUUAUCUCACUAAAUUCUACAAAAAAAAGAAAAAAGGCUUGCAAUGGAUGUCAUAAAUCACUUAAUAGCUGCUUCUUGCUGGCAAAACAUUCAUGCUGUUCCACAACACGGGGCUGUCUUUGGGAUAAGGUUAGUUGAUGGUUAUGGAGCACCUUGAUCUAAGGAUGGAACGAAGGUAUAUUUAUGUUAUUGUAAUGAUCCUUGUAACUUCAUGUAUACUUGCAUUGAUGGAUAACGUGCUAGGAAACAGAAAAACAUGUACAGAUGAAUAAGGGUUGGUUUAGGCUUAAAACAUGCUAAAUUUUCAAGAAAAACAUGAAAGUUAUGCUAAUUGAGGCCUCCUUUUUCUUGUGGAUAAAAGAACAAAUUCCAAAAAUCUGGAGAAGACAUCCAAAAGAGAAGAAUAAGAGAGAGCACCAAAGGCAAUGUAUAAGAGCACCUAAAUUCCAUUAAGACCCUAUUCUAUUCUAUACUGUUCUCUGUACAAUAUCUUGGUACUCUGCUGAGUACUCCUAAUCUGAGUGCAUUUAACAUGGAUUCCUCAUGAAAUUGACAGAUUGGUGAAUCCAAUCAGCUAUCAGAUUAGCUUAUAUUGAGAUUUGCAUGGUUUGUACAAGAGAGUGGAAUUAACAAGUGACUUUUAGUGUUCUUAAAUUGACUACUCAAAAGUGCCCAUAUAUUAUUGAAAAGCAUUUUUCAUCGGAUUAUGUUAUUUGAGCUGAAAAUUAAAAGAAGACAUUCACAGAAAUCAGCUGCUACAAGUCUCCACUCACUGACAAACAGUAAGGCAGGCAGUUCCACCAUCUAGAUUUUGUGGCACAGCCCUCCAUUCCCAACUCUCUCGCAACCAGUUUACUGGUGCUAAUGGUAGUUUUAGGAAAGCAUGCAUAUAAGUGUUUCUUUUAGUGCUAAAACCUAUUAUUGGAUUGUAAAUUUUGUCCUAAAAAAAUGCUUCCUGUAACAAUGCAAAUUCCAUUUGCUUUUAGCUGACACUGAACCUGACCCUGUUAUCAAUGCCCAAGUUUCAACUCACCCAUUGUUUUUGUUCAUUUCAGUUCAUUUCACUCAAAGAAAUGGAAGCAUUAGUUUGCUUGAGGGGGCAUUUCGACUGGCAUCCUUGAACUAUAUGCUGUCUCAUAGUAAUGCCUUAGCCCUACCCUUGCUUUCCUUUUGUGUCAUUUCAGUAAUAGGAUUUCUUGAACUACUCAUUGAAGAUGGUCACUUAAAGGGAUUGAAGCAUAGCUUGUGUGAGGGGGCAUUCCUAGUGGUGUCCUUGAUCUGUAAAAUUGUCAUCAUGAUAGCAACUUGAAUACAAAGUUUUCAAAGAUAUGAUAUCUUAAUAGCAGUGCUCGGUUCCAUCUUAUGAUACUGACUGGGACUUUAGAGAUCAUUGAUCUUUAUUGAUGUUCAAUCUCUGCUUGAUUUAAAACUUGAAUAGAAAGUAUUUCUGAGCUUGGCUGGUCAGGGGCAAUAAUCCUUAUGGCACUAGCAUUGGUUUGGUGGUGUCCAUGCACAUCUUGAUGUAUCUUAUGGGAAAGAUAUAGUAGAUGUAUUUACAUCAAGGUCGAGAAGCAGCCUAUAUAGAGUGUGACAUGUCACGGUACAGGUUAUUCAGGCAACCUGGAAGAAUUUUUGAAAAUUUUGAUUGAUGAUGGCUCCAAGAUUGCAUCAAUAUUAUCUCAAGGCAGUAGCAGAUCAAGGGCUGAUUGCAGUCGGCAAGCGCUUGUGCAUAUUACAACUGUUAAAUGAACCAUCCUUGUCAACCCCUCCCUCCAUGAACAUUUAGUGUAUGUAAUUAUCUUGGGGACAGUUGAUGUUAACAUUUUUAAGGAUUCUCAAAAGCAUGCAACAUACACCGGCUAAGGACAAUUUAUGUUUUCCCUUCACUUUGUUACUUCUCUCUAAUUAUCUGAAUGGUCGUGCAGUUUGGAUUUA